GCACAGAAAAGGAUUCUGAGUGUCUAGUC
rnacentral:piRNA from 1 species